rnacentral:rRNA from 1 species
GAUGAACGCUGGCGGCGUGCCUAAUACAUGCAAGUCGAGCGAACGGACGAGAAGCUUGCUUCUCCGAUGUUAGCGGCGGACGGGUGAGUAACACGUGGAUAACCUACCUAUAAGACUGGGAUAACUUCGGGAAACCGGAGCUAAUACCGGAUAAUAUUUUGAACCGCAUGGUUCAAAAGUGAAAGACGGUCUUGCUGUCACUUAUAGAUGGAUCCGCGCUGCAUUAGCUAGUUGGUAAGGUAACGGCUUACCAAGGCAACGAUGCAUAGCCGACCUGAGAGGGUGAUCGGCCACACUGGAACUGAGACACGGUCCAGACUCCUACGGGAGGCAGCAGUAGGGAAUCUUCCGCAAUGGGCGAAAGCCUGACGGAGCAACGCCGCGUGAGUGAUGAAGGCCUUCGGAUCGUAAAACUCUGUUAUUAGGGAAGAACAUAUGUGUAAGUAACUGUGCACAUCUUGACGGUACCUAAUCAGAAAGCCACGGCUAACUACGUG